rnacentral:rRNA from 1 species
CACGUAGGCACCAAGCGUUGUCCGGAUUUAUUGGGCAUAAAGAGCUCGUAGGCGGUUCGGUAAGUCGGAUGUGAAAACUUUGGGCUCAACCCAAAGCGUGCAUUCGAUACUGCCGUGACUUGAGUUCGGUAGGGGAGUGGGGAAUUCCUAGUGUAGCGGUGAAAUGCGCAGAUAUUAGGAGGAACACCGGUGGCGAAGGCGCCACUCUGGGCCGAAACUGACGCUGAGGAGCGAAAGCGUGGGUAGCAAACAGG